rnacentral:rRNA from 1 species
CCUACGGGAGGCAGCAGUGGGGAAUAUUGCACAAUGGGGGAAACCCUGAUGCAGCGACGCCGCGUGAGUGAAGAAGUAUCUCGGUACGUAAAGCUCUAUCAGCAGGGAAGAAAAUGACGGUACCUGACUAAGAAGCCCCGGCUAACUACGUGCCAGCAGCCGCGGUAAUACGUAGGGGGCAAGCGUUAUCCGGAUUUACUGGGUGUAAAGGGGGCGUAGACGGCGGUGCAAGCCAGAUGUGAAAGCCCGGGGCUCAACCCCGGGACUGCAUUUGGAACUGUAUGGCUGGAGUGUCGGAGAGGCAGGCGGAAUUCCUAGGGUAGCGGUGAAAUGCGUAGAGAUUAGGAGGAACACCAGUGGCGAAGGCGGCCUGCUGGACGAUGACUGACGUUGAGGCUCGAAAGCGUGGGGAGCAAACAGGAUUAGAUACCCUGGUAGUC